UCCAUCCAAUAUCUGACUGA
rnacentral:misc_RNA from 1 species